ensembl:lncRNA
CUGGUCAGCAUGGACUGACUUGGAAAAUCUUCCAUGAAAAGCUCAAAUGUUUUCCAAAAGUGUCUUCACAGUUUUCUUUUGAGGAAACUGACUCAACUGUGGCUUUACAGAUGGUUUCCUAAGGUGGAUGGGACAGAUGAUGAGAACGGUACAUGUGUUGGAACCACUCCUCUGCUGAUGGGAAAUCUAGCUGAUGCUGAUGAAGAAGGUGGGACUUUCCUGCCUGCUGGGAUUGGAGAGACACUCACCCCAUUCUGGGUUGCUACAGGGAAUGAGGGGUGUUCCUGGAAAUGUGGAUAAUAUUCUCUCUCCUCGGAUGGAGAUGGAGCAGAAGACAAAUGGCCCAAGCUCUUGACCUCUUAAAGGGAAAAGUCAAAAUGGGAACCCAGGCAAGGGUUCCAAUGUGGACACUCUGAAACACCAACCUGUACUUAUCACUCAGCCACAGGAUCAUCAGUCCUGGGUCAAGAGGGGUCCUUGUUUUUCAGACUAUUUCAUAUUGAGCAUGAUCCCCAUAGCUAGAAAACCAAAGGCUUCUUUUUUUCACGUUUUCCCUUUCUUCUCACCUUUGCCUUC